rnacentral:rRNA from 1 species
AUUGAACGCUGGCGGCAUGCUUUAGACAUGCAAGUCGAACGGCAGCGCGGGCUUCGGCCUGGCGGCGAGUGGCGAACGGGUGAGUAAUGCAUCGGAACGUGCCCAGUAGUGGGGGAUAGCCCGGCGAAAGCCGGAUUAAUACCGCAUACGACCUGAGGGUGAAAGCGGGGGACCGAAAGGCCUCGCGCUAUUGGAGCGGCCGAUGUCGGAUUAGCUAGUUGGUGGGGUAAAGGCUUACCAAGGCGACGAUCCGUAGCUGGUCUGAGAGGACGACCAGCCACACUGGGACUGAGACACGGCCCAGACUCCUACGGGAGGCAGCAGUGGGGAAUUUUGGACAAUGGGGGCAACCCUGAUCCAGCCAUGCCGCGUGCGGGAAGAAGGCCUUCGGGUUGUAAACCGCUUUUGUUCGGGAAGAAAUCCUCUGGGCUAAUACCCCGGGGGGAUGACGGUACCGGAAGAAUAAGCACCGGCUAACUACGUG